AAGUCUCUAUUUAUUAAUAAAUAGCGACGUAAAUGUGAAACCGAGAGAUUAGGUCGCCUUGAUAGUACUAUAGUAACAUUUCUGGCGGGCGGAGACAGGAAUCUCGGCUUUAACAGUAACAGUAUAGCUAGAGAGAAAUCCAAUGCUAAGUUGCAUCUAUACUGAUUUAACGUCAAUAUUUAAUGGAGACAAAAGUCUCUAUUUAUUAAUAAAUAGCGACGUAAAUGUGAAACGGAGAGAUUAGGUCGCCUUGAUAGUACUACAGUAACAUUUCUGGCGGGCGGAGACAGGAAUCCCGGCUUUAACAGUAUGACCUCAUUUACAGGACGCGCCGACUAUACAGAACAAGCGCUCUUUUGCUCCGCACGGGAGAAAACAGCACCGUGUCGGCCCAAGACGGUGAGAGUGGUGUUAAAAAUUUAAGGAUGGUCAAUGGCUACAGUCAGGAGGAGGAAAACACCCAUACAAGAUGCACUGGAAUAUGCAGCCAAGGCCCUUGAUAAGACAGCAGACUUGGAUGUAAAAUAUAUAAACUCAUUCAAAGGUAGAGGAGUGUUUGCCAAAACCUGUUUCCAGAAGGGAGACUUUGUGGUUGAGUACAGAGGAGAAUUAAUAAAUGGUGCAGAAUCUGAAAGAAGAAGGAAGAUAUAUCAUAGCAGAUGUGCUAUCUUCAUGUUCGAUUUCCACUGGCAAAACACAACAUGGUGUAUUGAUGCUGCGCGAGAAGAUGAUAGUCUGGGAAGACUCGUCAAUGAUGAUCACAGUCAUCCAAACUGCAAGAUAAAGAAGAUCAUAUCAGAGGGCAAGCCACAUCUCUUUCUCUUUGCUCUGAGGGACAUAAAUGCUGGAGAAGAAAUAACAUAUGACUA